AUGAAUUUACCUCUGGAGACAUUGCAUGUAUUGCUACUAGAUAAUAAAAUCCAUUGUAUCAAAUCUUUUCAGGUCACCAUGGGCAUGGUCAUGGUCAAGGACAGAAUCAGCAUAUCCAGCUGCUGAAAAAUUUGUCCAAAAAACAGCUACAAGCGCUUUUGGUAAUAGCACAACAACAAGCUGCAAAUGACAAUAACGCUGAUCACGAGUUCUUUUGGGGUGUAAUCAUACACACAAUCCAAGCUUUAAUCAAGAGUAAAUAAGGCAAGGAGUACGGAUAUGCCGGCGGAUACUAAUGAAUUCUUCAAAAAACGACAUUGGACCUCUCACUACCCAGAGCUUUCACUUCUUUCUAUGUAUCAAUAUAACAUGUUUACAUGAUGAGUUGUAUCCUGAGUUCUGAUUACCGCACAGUAAACUAAAUCUGAGUCAAAAA